UACAGGGGGUGCAAACGUUGCUCGGAAUCAUUGGGCGUAAAGCGCACGUAGGCGGUUCGUUAUGUCGGAUGUGAAAGCCCUUGGCUUAACCGAGGAAGUGCAUCCGAAACUGGCGAGCUAGAGUACGAAAAGAGGAUCGCGGAAUUCCCGGUGUAGAGGUGAAAUUCGUAGAUAUCGGGAGGAACACCGGUGGCGAAGGCGGCGAUCUGGGUCGAUACUGACGCUGAGGUGCGAAAGCGUGGGGAGCAAAGCAGG
rnacentral:rRNA from 1 species